rnacentral:rRNA from 1 species
GACGAACGCUGGCGGCGUGCUUAACACAUGCAAGUCGAACGGAAAGGCCCUGCUUUUGUGGGGUGCUCGAGUGGCGAACGGGUGAGUAACACGUGAGUAACCUGCCCUUGACUUUGGGAUAACUUCAGGAAACUGGGGCUAAUACCGGAUAGGAGCUCCUGCUGCAUGGUGGGGGUUGGAAAGUUUCGGCGGAUGGGGAUGGACUCGCGGCUUAUCAUCUUGUUGGUGGGGUAGUGGCUUACCAAGGCUUUGACGGGUACCCAGACUGAGAUGGUGACCGGGCACAUUGGGACUGAAAUACAGUCCAAACUCCUACAGGAGGCAGCAAUGUGGAAUAUUGCACACUGGGCUGAUGCCUGAUUGACCCGCGCCGCAUGACGGAUGACUGCCUUGUGGACGGCAUCCGCUUUCGACUGUGACGAGGCUCGAGUGACAGCUAGGCGGAACUAAGCAACUGAUGAUUACCUGACUCCAUGCCCGCAGAUACGUAAGGAGCGAGCAUCUCUCCGAUUUCUUGAGUCGUUGGGGUUCAAAGGUGGUUGAUCGGUUUCAGAAUGUAAUCUUGAAAGCCCAUCGCUGAACGUGCUUACGAUACAUUGCUGACUUCUAGAUUGUAUUGUAGAGUGGAAUCUCUGAUGUAUCGUGUGAAUGCGAAAAGCUUAGAAAUUACAUGGAAUACCAAUUGCGAACGUCUGUUCUCUGGCCCUUUCCUGACGCUGAUAGACCAAAGCGUGGGGAGCGAACAGGCUUAGAUCCCCUGGUAGUCCACCCCUUAAACGGUGGGUACUAGGUGUUGGGUCCAUUCCACGGGUUCCGUGCGGUAGUUAACGCUUUAAGUACCCCACCUGGGGAGUACGGCCGCAAGAAUGAAACUCAAAGGAAUUGACGGGGCCCCGCACAAGCGGCGGAGCAUGCGGAUUAAUUCAAUGCAACGCGUAGAACCUUCCCUGGGUUUGACAUGGAUCGGGAGCGCUCAGAGAUGGGCGUGCCUCUUUUGGGGUCGGUUCACAGGUGGUGCAUGGCUGUCGUCAGCUCGUGUCGUGAGAUGUUGGGUUAAAUCCUAUAACGAGCGCAACCCCUGUUCACUGUUGCCAGCACGUUAUGGUGGGGACUCUAACGAGACCGCCGGGGUCAACUCGGAGGAAGGUGGGGAUGACGUCAAGUCAUCAUGCCCCUUAUGUCCAGGGCUUCACACGUGCUACAAUGGCCGGUACAGAGAGUGGCGAGCCUGUGAGGGUGAGCGAAUCUCGGAAAGCCGGUCUCAGUUCGGAUUGGGGUCUGCAACUCGACCUCAUGAAGUCGGAGUCGCUAGUAAUCGCAGAUCAGCAACGAUGCGGUGAAUACGUUCCCGGGGCU